GAUGAACGCUAGCGGCAGGCCUAACACAUGCAAGUCGAGGGGCAUCGCGGUGCAGCAAUGCACUGGCGGCGACCGGCGUACGGGUGCGUAACGCGUAUGCAACCUGCCCCGCACCGGGGGAUAGCCCGCCGAAAGGCGGAUUAAUACCCCAUGGUCCCGGGGGCCCGCAUGGGCAUCCGGGUAAAGCCUUGGCGGUGCGGGAUGGGCAUGCGUGCCAUUAGCUGGCUGGUGGGGUAACGGCCCACCAGGGCAACGAUGGCUAGGGGGUCUGAGAGGAUGGUCCCCCACACUGGUACUGAGACACGGACCAGACUCCUACGGGAGGCAGCAGUGAGGAAUAUUGGUCAAUGGGCGGAAGCCUGAACCAGCCAUGCCGCGUGCGGGAUGAAGGCCCUACGGGUUGUAAACCGCUUUUCCCCGGGAAGAAUAACCCCGAUGAGUCGGGGAUGCCGGUACCGGGGAAUAGGAUCGGCUAACUCCGUG
rnacentral:rRNA from 1 species